UACAGAGGGGGCAAGCGUUAUUCGGAAUUAUUGGGCGUAAAGGGCGCGUAGGCGGCUUUGCAAGUGACGGGUGAAAUCCCUCGGCUUAACCGAGGAACUGCCUGUCAAACUGCAUGGCUUGAGACCGGGAGAGGUGAGUGGAAUUCCCAGUGUAGCGGUGAAAUGCGUAGAUAUGGGGAGGAACACCGGUGGCGAAGGCGGCCAUCUGGACGGCUAUUGACGCUGAGACGCGAAAGCGUGGGGAGCAAACAGG
rnacentral:rRNA from 1 species